GUCGGCCGACGGAAGUGACAAUGGGGGCGGUGGGCGGAUGCCUACCCGAGAGACCAGGAGAGCUAAGUGAUUGAUGGAGCUUCCGGAAGUCUUGGCGGCUGUACCGGCGCUAAUGUUCCUCCUUUUCCUGAGGUUUUCUAAUCACAGAAUUACUGGAGCGUCAAGAAGCGCCUGCAUGCUUGGAAGGGCUUCCAGGCAGAUGAACACACCUCAGCACCGGGUGGCAGUUUCCCAGGGUGCAACCCGGACCGGCUCUGGGUCACACUGACAAGUGCACCCCUCCUGAGCUGAAGUGUUCCCAUUCUCUCCGCAGCCUCUCCGACUCCCCAGGCUGGGUUGGGUGCUCCUCCCUCUCAUCCCACAGCGCUAUGUCUCAUGUCUUCUGGAAAACUUGCCAAUCCCUAGUGAUAACAAGGAUUAACAAUUUCCAGAGACAGCCCGUACAUAGAGGGAAAGUUUACUGAAAAAAAUGAAGAGGGGUCAGGGCAAGGCGAGGAGCAAGAAGCAUCCCCAAGGAAACAGAGAAGACCAGUACAACUGUACCUCUUUGCCAGCUGCACCAUCCGUACCAGGUGGCACGUUCUAGAGGCCAUAGCCUCUGUUCUGGUCAUCUCCAGUCUCCUGGGGUGGGAGUGUACAGCUCAGAGACUGCCACACUGCAAGACGAAGGGGCUGGAUGGACGGAAGUAAGAGGCGGAACCC
rnacentral:antisense_RNA from 1 species